rnacentral:lncRNA from 1 species
CAACCUUGUCUUUGACCUCGCCUGGCAUCCUGUGUGGUCAUGAGCCACAGAGAUGGAAAAGGCAACGUGGUAGAGGCAAGAAGAGGCAGGAGGUGGAAAAGAAGGACUAUCAGUCUUGGAGGUGCCUGAAGAUGUCUACAACUGGAAGAAAAGAAGCCACUGGAGCGGAAGGUGGGGAGAAUAAAGUUUGGAGCAAGAUUCUCAAGGAAGCAACAAGAUCCUAAGGCCACUGCUUUGCUGAGUCAUUCUACUAUGCGGCCCCUCAGACACAAAGCCCGGCGGCCACCUGCCCACAGAGUCACAGAAGGCCAGCCAACUGCAAGCUCGGAACUUCAGGAUCUUGCUUUUUGGGUUAUUUUCACUACUGUAACUUUUUUGUCCUUAGAUGAAGAAAGUGGUCAGCAUCUUCUCCAGAUCAGAAAAAUUGCAUUUGUUUUCCCUUUUUAUUGUGAAGUCUCAAACAUAUACAAAGUUAGCAGAAAUUAUUAAAUGAUUGCCUCUUGGCCUUUUGGCUAAGCUCAAGGGUAAAAAAUUAUUAAAUGAGCAAUUAAAAACACUUUUGAAACAAAAUAAAAAAUAAAAAAUCUAAGUAAAGGAAUAUAAG